rnacentral:rRNA from 1 species
UACGAAGGGGGCUAGCGUUGCUCGGAAUCACUGGGCGUAAAGCGCACGUAGGCGGAUUGUUAAGUCAGGGGUGAAAUCCUGGAGCUCAACUCCAGAACUGCCUUUGAUACUGGCGAUCUUGAGUCCGGAAGAGGUAAGUGGAACUGCGAGUGUAGAGGUGAAAUUCGUAGAUAUUCGCAAGAACACCAGUGGCGAAGGCGGCUUACUGGUCCGGAACUGACGCUGAGGUGCGAAAGCGUGGGGAGCAAACAGG